rnacentral:rRNA from 1 species
GAUGAACGCUGGCGGCGUGCCUAAUACAUGCAAGUCGAGCGAACGGACGAGAAGCUUGCUUCUCUGAUGUUAGCGGCGGACGGGUGAGUAACACGUGGAUAACCUACUUCUAAGACUGGGAUAACUUCGGGAAACCGGAGCUAAUACCGGAUAAUAUUUUGAACCGCAUGGUUCAAAAGUGAAAGACGGUUUUGCUGUCACUUAUAGAUGGUUCCGCGCUGCAUUAGCUAGUUGGUAAGGUAACGGCUUACCAAGGCAACGAUGCAUAGCCGACCUGAGAGGGUGAUCGGCCACACUGGAACUGAGACACGGUCCAGACUCCUACGGGAGGCAGCAGUAGGGAAUCUUCCACAAUGGGCGAAAGCCUGACGGAGCAACGCCGCGUGAGUGAUGAAGGUCUUCGGAUCGUAAAACUCUGUUAUUAGGGAAGAACAUAUGUGUAAGUAACUGUGCACAUCUUGACGGUACCUAAUCAGAAAGCCACGGCUAACUACGUG